rnacentral:lncRNA from 1 species
UGACGGAUGAAGCACACAGGCCCCGAAACCCAAACGUUAACUUGGACUUAGAGCUGCUUGAGCUAGUUACUUCACAUCUGUUUCAUCGGAGCCAGUAGGAGCUGCCUCACGCAGCUAGUAGGAGAUCCUGUCUCAGCUCUGUCUGGUGGGACCCCGGUACGGCAGGCGACUUCUCUGGAGACUCUCUGGUGUGUUAAAAUUUGGACACAGGAGUUCUGAUCGCAGCAGGGUCCUGCUGGAAGGUGCAGAGGCCAAAGCAGUUUGAGGAUUGCAGGUCCUUUCCAGCGAAGAACCCGCUGAAGCUCGGUAUUGCUGAGCAGCUGGGGCUGCCCAGAAAGAGGGCAAAGCCUUCUGAGGAAACACCCAGGGCAGGAAGGUCCUGCCGACCCCUCUCUGACCCGGUCUCCUCCGAGUCCUCUCCUCUGUGGCUCCCAGAGCUCCCUGCAGGCUCCCGCCUGGGAUGCCAGGAACAGGGGCUCUCAGGAUGGUGUGGGGGCUUCAGGG